rnacentral:piRNA from 1 species
UCGGGCACAAUUUUUCUCGAU